AAAAUAAUUUUAAUAGAAAGGAAAAGAUAUUUAAGUUUUAUAUAACAAAAAAUGUUAAGAAAACACCAAGUUUGGACUGUUGGUAAAGUAUCGCUCCACAGAUAUUACUAUAAUAAUAAUGUUAAAAGAAUUUUUGUUUCUUGCUAAUAAUGAGGGAAAGUUUGCUUCCGUUGAAGGAAGUAAGAACUUACCUAAGUUUCAUAUCAAUACAAAUUUAGGAAAAGUGAAGUCAGAUCAGCAGGGGACAUUCGUUAAUUAUCGGGUUAAAUAUGCCCCUCUAACCGCAGGAAAUCUUUUAUCCGCAACAGCGGAUGCAGAAAGAUCAUAUACAGGGUGUUCACUGUCUCCUUCGAGGGAACUGCACUACGAUGUGGGUGACAUUCAGGCG
rnacentral:lncRNA from 1 species